CAUGCGUUAUUAACAUGAAUUGUUCUCAUAAUGUUUUAUUGGUCACAGUUGGCGAUUGAUUACGGCAUCAAGUUCUUAGAAACAAGCGCCAAGUCCAGCCUGAACGUGGAAGAGUCCUUUUUCACACUGGGAAGAGACAUAAUGACGAGACUCAACAGAAAAAUAAACGACAACAGUCCUCCAGGAGGAGGUGGGCCGGUCAAGAUCACAGAGAACCGGUCAAAGAAGAGCAACUUCUUCAGAUGUUCCCUGUUCUAGUGGAUCCGUCCUCUCCUUUCCAUGGACUGAUACAGCCCUCAUCUGGCCUGCUGCUUCCCCCGAGAGCUGAGCAGAAUACACAUCCAACCCCUCACCA